GUAAAGUGUGGUUGCUGGAGUAAAGGUCCAUGGUCGAGCAUUGCUCUCUGGGCGCUAGUCUUAUUGGAAUAAGGGAGCCGAAAGGCUAAGGUUGAUAGUGAAAAUUAAGUGACCGGACUAGAGUUAAGGACCCUAGUCGAGCUUUGCUCUCUCGGCGCCAGUCCUAUUGGAAUGAGAUUAGUCGGGAUGUUAGAGUUGAGAUUAG
rnacentral:lncRNA from 1 species